rnacentral:rRNA from 1 species
CCCUUAGAUGUUCUGGGCCGCACGCGUGCUACACUGACCGGCGCAACAAGCUUUUUUCCUUGGCUCGACAGGCCUGGGUAAUCUUCGAACGCCGGUCGUGAUGGGGAUAGAUCCUUGCAAUUUUUGAUCUUCAACGAGGAAUUCCUAGUAAAUGCGAGUCAUCAUCUCGCGUUGAUUACGUCCCUGCCCUUUGUACACACCGCCCGUCGCACCUACCGAUUGAAUGGUCCGGUGAAGCCUCCGGAUUACACAGGCCCCGUGUCUGGCGCGAGAAGUUGGCUAAACCUUACCAUUUAGAGGAAGGUGAAGUCGUAACA